rnacentral:ncRNA from 13 species
GUCGUAGCUCAGUCGGUAGAGCGCACGACUCUUAAUCGUGUGGUCGCGGGUUCAAUCCCCGCCGA